rnacentral:misc_RNA from 1 species
UUGCUUUUUUUUUUUUUCUUCCCCUCUUUCUUUUUCUUGUUUAUCAUUUGAGCUGUGCUUCGGAAUUAUGGAUUUUCUAAAUUAGGUGUAGUUAUAACUAUGUUCUUGUGAUUAUUUUGCAUUUUGUAUUUAGUUUUACAUUUACUUCUCGUUUUCUAAUCUUGGAAUAUUUAAAAUUACUCUAUAAGUUGUAUCAGUUGAGUUCAGCUCAUAAAAUGAUUGCAGUUGUGAUGAUCGUUCAGACUUUAUAUCUGUACUAAAUGUGUCACAUAACUUAUAUCUGUCUGCCAAAUAUGGUUAGUCUCGAUAAGAAAGGACCUCUGUAAUUUCUAAUUUAAUUAUCCCAAUAUCUCUCAUGAGAUGAAGUUACACGGGUAUAGAUUUGCAUGCUAGUCUACAUUAGUGCUUGAAUGUGUGCGUUUGGCACAUUAGGGUUGUCAAGUUUAAACCGAGUAUAAUUUGGUCUUGGGAAGAGAGAUUCUAGGUCUAUUUUCAAUCUAAUGUACAGUUGGAUAAGAGAUGUGUAUCCUAUUAUACAAGAGCUAGUGGUACUUCCUUGAAUACCUUUGACCUUCUCAUGUUUUACUCUGAACACCCAUCGUCCUAUUCUCUUCUUCUAGGCUCUUCAAAUCAAUGCUCGUCUUUUGUUGGGUUGCUGCCAAUUUUUGUUCAUUUUAGUGAAUUUCUGUAAAAGUCUUGUAUUUUUUCAUGCUUAUAUUGAAUUCCAAGAAUACUACCUGUUUGUCGUUGUCGUUAGUGCACCAAGCUGACCAAAUUUGUGGAAGCGAAAGAAAAUAAUCUUAGUUGUUCUUAUCAUUUUUUUUCUGCCUGAUAUUAGAAUGAUAUAGUUUUUUUGUUGUGGCUUAGUGGCUGUAAACCUAAAAUAUUUAUUCUGGUUUCUUGUAUAAAUAUUUCAAAUGGUAGCUUAUUGAAUGAGGGCCUGUGAUAGCUUUCUUUAACCCUAGUAUGACUUUGGAUGACCUUAGCAUCAACUAGGUUUAGAUUGUUUUUCUUAUGAUGCAGGUUUAAUGGUCUGAUGGUGUUUACUGUUGGUCACAUCUUUGAUUUUGAACUAAAGGAUGAAUGAAUGUCAAAGUCCAUGGUUGCAGGUAAGAAGUUUUAAUGAUGCUUGUUCUCUCUUCCAAUCUUUAUCCCUAGUAGCUUUUUAGAUAUCGGCCAAGUGGGUCAAUAUCAGUUCGGUCAAGGUUAUGUUUUCAUCAUAUUUGAAUCCUAAAUUUCUGAAAUUGUCUUGCCACGAUGUCAUCUAUAUUUCAAGUUUUUAUUUCCUGACUUCUACUGGUUUUUGUUCCCAGACUUCAUCUGUGUUAUAUAAUUGGCUUCCUACAAUUUACCUUUGGAACUUAUAGGAUGUUGAAUAUCGUGUUAACUUAGUUUUAGCUAUUUUUGGUCAUACAUUCUGAAUUGCAAAUGGUGUUGCAGGCACUUUGUGGUUAUUCGGCAAUUGAAGGGCAGAAUUGAAUUUAAAUCCUGUGUUCUCUUCAGAAUAGAGUAGCUCAAUCUGCUGUCUGUCUUGCAGUUAUAUAAGUUGCCUCAUUCUGGAGAGCAAUGUAUAUGGUAUUAAAGAUUUCCAAUACCACUUUAAAGAAUUAUUUAGAUCUUAUUAGUUUGCAAAUCAUUUUUGCUAUGGGAUCAUCUGAUUCCACAGUUGGAGCCUGUACUGUUUAUUGCAAUAAAAAAGAAAUUUGCAUGGCUAGAGUUGAGGAUCAUGAUUGAUAGACUUAUUUGUUUCCUAUUAUGAUUAAUGAUGCCAAAUAUUUCAUACAGAUUGUCAUGGGAAAUCUAGGAAGUGGCAUUAAUAUGAAGGGGCUAGUUAUAACCCGCUAUGUGAUUCCUUUGGUGUGCAGUGUGUGGGAAUGAAGGUUGAUUUUCAGAAGUUCUGUUUGAGUGGUAGUCAUCUUUUUGUUCACCCUUUGCUGCUAUAUUGAGUUUCAUUAUGUUUUGUCUGGAAGUUGAGAAGUAGUAAUUCAGGAUUGGAUCCAUUAAUGUAUGUGGCUCAGGGGACAUCAUCUAGAUAAUCUGCAGACAUCAUCUAGAUAAUCUGCAGCUUGCAUUUUGAGCUAUUAUGAGAUGUGAUAUCCUAGAAUUUUCUGGUGGGAAGAAUUGAAAUGGUGUGGCCUUAUUGUUGUAUUGACUUGUUUUCUCUGGUGAUGGAUGGUGGCAUAAUUUUGGGAUUACUAUUAGUGCUGCGGUCUGCAUUAGUUGCCUCCAGAUACAUUAUGAUUUACACAUUGGUUGCAGAGCAUUAGGUGGCAGUAAUCUUACUUGUAGGGGAAACCAAUAACUAAAAGCAUGGAGAUGCUAAUUUUUAUAUAGUUGAAGUUUAAGGCUUGGUGCCUUCAGGUUUCCUUAGGUUGUGAGCACGGAGGGGAGACUUGUACAUAACAUCUAUGAUGGAAAUCAAAGUCCAAUGCUCAUAAAUUUCACUUCCUAGAUGGAGGGCAUUUGAUAUUCUUGACCGGAGAGCUGAUCGCUUAUUAAUAACUCUGCUGCUGACAAGGUUUUUUUGUGGCUGUGUGCUAAGGAACAAUUAUGAGACUUGGGCCUUAUGAGAGUGCCCCUUUGCAUUUUAGGACAUCGUUAUGACCCAUCUCCAAGAGACUUUAUAAACAUGUGUCUGAAGCUUGUGUCUUCUCCAGAGAUUGGCAUAUGCUUUUCCAGGGUUCAUAUAUCCCUUGAUUUUUGUAUCAUAAAAACUAAAUUGGUGAAAAUUUCUGAUACUGUCAGAUAAGGAACAUCUACAUGUUAGUUUGUAGAGAAAAUUUUGAAUAUAAUUAGGGGGAAGAUUUCAUCUUAACGUGUAAACUUACAAUUACCCUGGACAAGCAACUUCAAGUUUAUUUGGGGAAUAUGUUUUGAGCAUUGGGAACUACAUGUGGGCUUAUAAUGGUGUUUUGUUGGAUAAAAAUUUAAUCCUUUUUUGGGUUGGCUGUCUAUACAUUAAAAUAAUAUAUCUUAUUUAUUGCCUCUUUUAGGUGCUUUUACCACCAUUCUUCCUUGCUCUGAUUGUCCCAUUUAUGUAACCAGCAUUGAUUUUGUAAUGCAUUUUUCUUUUCAAUACUUCUCUUAUAAAGUAAUGUUUUUGACUCCAAAGUUUGCAAUGAGUAAUACUCGAAGAAAUUUUUGAAUCUACUAUAGUAGAGAUAUUGUGGGAACUUGAUAGAACUAUUGAAAAAAAGAAUUUUAUAAGAAGCUUAAAAGUGUUUUAUUUAUUUAUUUAUUUGUUUUUCUCACUGAUGUUCUCACAGGAGUGAUUUUGAACAAAUUAUAUUGCAGUGCUUCUGUUUUUGUCAAUGGAUCAAUUUUUUACUUUAUUCUCUUCCUUUUUUUUAAUGAAAAAUUAAAUUCUGUAGAAAAUUUCUACAUUUGGAACUUUUAGUGAAUAACUACAAUGGUUUAUUUGUGAAUUAUUCAUGUGCUCAACAAGCUGCACUUCUUGGCUAUUAUUUGUUCUGAGAAUUCAACCAUUUUAUUACCAAAAUGAACUUUUAUGGUGCAGUUAACUUACAAAAUACAGGUGAUGACAGCAAACUUAAGUCUAAAUUAUUUUCUUUGAUCUUAGGCGAGAAAUAUUCAUAUCUAGUUAUAAGGUUUCUAACAAUACGAAUUUGGAAUUAAACCCUUUAGGAUUUUUUUAUCAUUGAUGUGAAAUGCAAGAAGAAGAUGGUGAUUGAAGUAAAACAAACUACUAGGCAUUGGCUUGGCUCAGAUGUUGAAGGUAAAGAAAUGAAAGAUUCAUUUCCUUUUACUUUCAAAAAAUGAGAAAGUUGGGUUUCUCUAUCACUAUGUCCUCCCCUUAUUUUCUCUUCUUCCUAAUGCCCUCUUGAGUCCUUAUGCAUGUGUUGAUUAUUCAGUUAUUUAGAAUUAUCUCUUCUCCCACAAUUAGUUAGAAAGCACUUGGGGGUUUUAGUUUCCAUUAUAUCUUUUCCUUUUCAUCACACUUUUACUCAAUUUGUUUUAGACUUGUCCGCAUAUCCUUACAAUCCUAAUGUACCAUGAAAUUAGGCGAACAUGAAAUACAUCUACAAUGUUUCUGUUUUAACUUUAAAUUGUCUUAUGUUCCUGUCCAAGAUGUCUUUGAGACUACCAUCUCAGUAGGCGUCUUUUUCACAUGAUAGUACUCAAAUGCAUAUGUUUCUUUUACUGUUGUCAUUAUGUUUCAGAAUUCUGAUUUUCCUGGU